rnacentral:tRNA from 1 species
GGGCGUGUGGUUGGUCAACAGACGAUUUCCUAAAUCGUUCUACAAGGGUUCGACUCCCUUCAUGUCC